ACGGCCAUACCAUGCUGAAAACACCGAAUCUCGUCCGAUCACCGAAAUUAAGCAUCCUCAGGCGUAGUAAGUACUUGGUAGAGUGACCACCUGUGAACACC